rnacentral:rRNA from 1 species
GACGAACGCUGGCGGCGUGCCUAAUACAUGCAAGUAGAACGCUGAAGGAGGAGCUUGCUCUUCUGGAUGAGUUGCGAACGGGUGAGUAACGCGUAGGUAACCUGCCUGGUAGCGGGGGAUAACUAUUGGAAACGAUAGCUAAUACCGCAUAAAAUUGAUUAUUGCAUGAUAGUCAAUUAAAAGGUGCAAUUGCAUCACUACCAGAUGGACCUGCGUUGUAUUAGCUAGUUGGUGAGGUAACGGCUCACCAAGGCAACGAUACAUAGCCGACCUGAGAGGGUGAUCGGCCACACUGGGACGGAGACACGGCCCAGACUCCUACGGGAGGCAGCAGUAGGGAAUCUUCGGCAAUGGACGGAAGUCUGACCGAGCAACGCCGCGUGAGUGAAGAAGGGUUUCGGAUCGUAAAGCUCUGUUGUAAGAGAAGAACGAGUGUGAGAGUGGAAAGUUCACACUGUGACGGUAUCUUACCAGAAAGGGACGGCUAACUACGUG